UUGGAGGGCAAGUCUGGUGCCAGCAGCCGCGGUAAUUCCAGCUCCAAUAGCGUAUAUUAAAGUUGUUGCAGUUAAAAAGCUCGUAGUUGAAUUUCGGGAUCAUCAGGUUGGUCGUGCCACUGGUAUGUACUAGCUUUGAUGAUUCCUCCCUCUUGAAGAACCGUAAUGUCAUUAAUUUGGUGUUGCGGGGAAUCAGGACUGUUACUUUGAAAAAAUUAGAGUGUUUAAAGCAGGC
rnacentral:rRNA from 1 species